rnacentral:tRNA from 1 species
CCUUUCUAGAGUAUAGGGACACUAUCUCACAAUGGUGCUCCGGCGAGAACUGCUAAGGAAGCUUAUUUAGUUUUGAGAGAUUGAAUGAAAGAGGGGCUUAUAGCUCAGGUGGUUAGAGCGUACCCCUGAUAAGGGUAAGGUCAGAGGUUCGAGUCCUCUUAAGCCCACCAUGGGGAAUUAGCUCAGCUGGGAGAGCGCCUGCUUUGCACGCAGGAGGUCAGCGGUUCGAUCCCGCUAUUCUCCACCAUUUUAUCAAAAGUGGUAAAAGAUUGUAUCACGACAUUGUUAGUGAAGAUGAGGACACAACGUCUAAUAUAAGAACAAGAGAGAUUGUUUUUAUAUUAGACUUUUUAGUCUAAAUGUUAUUUAAUUUAUUAUUGUCAAAGUCAACAAAACGCAAAAAAAACAAUUUACAACUUGUUAGAUGGUUUACAUUUAAUAAGGGAGUGAAAUGUGCAUUAGAAUACAAAUAG